GGUAGCUUAGUGGUAGAGUGCUUGCCUAGGAUGCAUGAAGCCUUGGGUUCAAUUCCUCAAUACCA
rnacentral:tRNA from 1 species